rnacentral:rRNA from 1 species
UACGUAGGGGCGAGCGUUGUCCGGAAUUAUUGGGCGUAAAGGGCGUGUAGGCGGUUAUUUAAGUCAGGUGUGAAACACCACGGCUCAACCGUGGGGUUGCACUUGAAACUGGAGGACUUGAGUGCAGGAGAGGAGAGCGGAAUUCCCGGUGUAGCGGUGAAAUGCGUAGAUAUCGGGAAGAACACCAGUGGCGAAGGCGGCUCUCUGGCCUGUAACUGACGCUGAGGCGCGAAAGCUAGGGUAGCGAACGGGAUUAGAUACUCGCGUAGUCCCUGA